rnacentral:rRNA from 1 species
AUGAUAUCUCUAGAAGACAUCUGAAAGAGAUUAAAGAUUUAUCGGUGAUGGAUGGGGAUGCGUCUGAUUAGCUUGUUGGCGGGGUAACGGCCCACCAAGGCGACGAUCAGUAGGGGUUCUGAGAGGAAGGUCCCCCACAUUGGAACUGAGACACGGUCCAAACUCCUACGGGAGGCAGCAGUGAGGAAUAUUGGUCAAUGGGCGAGAGCCUGAACCAGCCAAGUAGCGUGCAGGAUGACGGCCCUAUGGGUUGUAAACUGCUUUUAUAAGGGAAUAAAGUGAGUCUCGUGAGACUUUUUGCAUGUACCUUAUGAAUAAGGACCGGCUAAUUCCGUGCCAGCAGCCGCGGUAAUACGGAAGGUCCGGGCGUUAUCCGGAUUUAUUGGGUUUAAAGGGAGCGUAGGCCGGAGAUUAAGCGUGUUGUGAAAUGUAGACGCUCAACGUCUGCACUGCAGCGCGAACUGGUUUCCUUGAGUACGCACAAAGUGGGCGGAAUUCGUGGUGUAGCGGUGAAAUGCUUAGAUAUCACGAAGAACUCCGAUUGCGAAGGCAGCUCACUGGAGCGCAACUGACGCUGAAGCUCGAAAGUGCGGGUAUCGAACAGGAUUAGAUACCCUGGUAGUCCGCACGGUAAACGAUGGAUGCCCGCUGUUGGUCUGAAUAGGUCAGCGGCCAAGCGAAAGCAUUAAGCAUCCCACCUGGGGAGUAC